GUCCACGCCCUAAACGAUGUAAACUCGACAUUAGCGAUAUACUGUUAGUGUCCAAGCGAAAGCGUUAAGUUUACCACCUGGGAAGUACGUCCGCAAGGAUGAAACUCAAAGGAAUUGGCGGGGUCCGCACAAGCGGUGGAGCAUGUGGUUUAAUUCGAUGAUACGCGAGGAACCUUACCUGGGCUAGAAUGUAGUUUGACCGAUCCUGAAAGGGGUCUUUGUAGCAAUACACAGAUUACAAGGUGCUGCAUGGUUGUCGU
rnacentral:rRNA from 1 species